UAAUAUGAAGACAUGUUGUGAGCCUAGAU
rnacentral:piRNA from 1 species